UUAUUUUACAGGACGGUUUUCACGUAAAAGAGACAUGUUGCUUGCAAUAUAUUUUAAGACUUGAUACGCACGAUAUUUUAAUAUCUGGUGGUGAAGACUGCACCCUUCGUGUUAGUUGUGUAUCUCAGAGUUUUAAAGAAAAUGUCGAGAACGUCUACACCUUUCAUACUUUAGGAAUUUUUGAUGGUCAUCUUUCGGGCAUAAAAUGUAUAAGUAUUGUUAAAUUAAGCAACAAGCUCGGCAAAUUAAAUAACAGAUAUUUAGUCUUUUCUGCUGGAGGAAGAGCACAGCUAAAAGUCUGGGAGAUAAAUUUAUCCUUCUGAGGAUCUAAAUUGUGUGUUAAAAAAUAAAUAUCUUCUAGCUACUCGUGGAAACGAUAAUCUUCUCAGUCUUGUCUGUUUCCAAAUUAAUACAAAAAAACGAUAUCAGUUGUACUAUUAUCCAAGUGGAGUACAGCAAUUGUACAUUCUGCUCAGAUCACAGGUCUAAAAUUUAAAAGUGACAAUCAGUUAUGUAGCGUAGCAAUAGAUCAGCAAGUUGUUGUCUACAAUUAUUUAUGGUCCAAUGACAUCAUAUCUGAAAAUAUUUCAAAUCAAAUAUUUACAUCUGUCACAGAUGUACAAAGCAUGGAUCUACGGCAUUCUGAUGAGCGAAAUGGAAAACAUUGAAACAACAUUAAUGUACUGUCUUGCUAGUAGCAGUAUAAAGUUAGAAAAAAUUAAUCGUGAUGCCGACUGGAAUUAAGUCGGUAAAGCAAUCGUUUAACAAUAAAGAAUGGUUA